rnacentral:rRNA from 1 species
GACGAACGCUGGCGGCGUGCCUAAUACAUGCAAGUCGAACGCAGUGGGGACGGGUGAGUAACACGUGGGUAACCUCCCAUCAGAGGGGAUAACACUUGGAAACAGGUGCUAAACCGAUACGGAUGGAUGGACCCGCGGUGAAUUGGCUAGUUGGGUGGGUAACGGCUCACCAAGGCCACGGAGCAUAGCCUGCCUUGGGUGGGUGUCGGGCACAAUUGGACUGGGGCACGGGCCAGUCUCCCUCGGGAGGCAAGAGUAGGGAAUCGUCGGAAAUGGGGGGAAACCUGACCGAGCAACGGCGCGGGAGUGAAAAAGGGUUUCGGGUCGUAAAGCUCUGUUGUUAAGGAAGCGGUACUUAACCAGAAAGGGACGGCUAACUACGUGCCAGCAGCCGCGGUAAUUC